rnacentral:rRNA from 1 species
GAUGAACGCUGGCGGCGUGCCUAAUACAUGCAAGUCGAGCGAACGGACGAGAAGCUUGCUUCUCUGAUGUUAGCGGCGGACGGGUGAGUAACACGUGGAUAACCUACCUAUAAGACUGGGAUAACUUCGGGAAACCGGAGCUAAUACCGGAUAAUAUUUUGAACCGCAUGGUUCAAAAGUGAAAGACGGUCUUGCUGUCACUUCUAGAUGGAUCCGCGCUGCAUUAGCUAGUUGGUAAGGUAACGGCUUACCAAGGCAACGAUGCAUAGCCGACCUGAGAGGGUGAUCGGCCACACUGGAACUGAGACACGGUCCAGACUCCUACGGGAGGCAGCAGUAGGGAAUCUUCCGCAAUGGGCGAAAGCCUGACGGAGCAACGCCGCGUGAGUGAUGAAGGCCUUCGGAUCGUAAAACUCUGUUAUUAGGGAAGAACAUAUGUGUAAGUAACUGUGCACAUCUUGACGGUACCUAAUCAGAAAGCCACGGCUAACUACGUG